rnacentral:rRNA from 1 species
UACGGAGGGGACUAGCGUUGUUCGGAAUUACUGGGCGUAAAGCGCACGUAGGCGGCUUUGUAAGUCAGGGGUGAAAUCCCGGGGCUCAACCUCGGAACUGCCUUUGAUACUGCAAAUCUCGAGUCCGGAAGAGGUGAGUGGAAUUCCUAGUGUAGAGGUGAAAUUCGUAGAUAUUAGGAAGAACACCGGUGGCGAAGGCGGGUCUCUGGGCCAUAACUGACGCUGAGGAGCGAAAGCGUGGGGAGCAAACAGG